GAUUUGUCAAUCUGAUAAUUUUAGUCCACGCAUUUGCAACGGUUCAAAUUUUCCGCUACUCUUACCUUUGAGAGUUCGGCAACGACUUGCUUGUAGUUCUUUUUGGUUAAUGAUGCAACUAAAUAACUUAUUUGUGACAAGAAAAGACGCGCAAAAAAAAACUACACCACCCGGAACACGCACGAAAAUGGCAGGAAAACGUCAACUUUUCACAUGUGCUUCGAAAGCCGAAGAAAACUAAUGAUCCGAAUUUGAAACUGCAGCGGCACCUCACGUCAUGAACGGAAUAAAACUCGUACCAGAAUCACAGGAACACUCUUUUAGUGUUCCUUAACAACAUUGAAGAGUUUGUGCUUAUCGCAGGAAUAAAGGGAAAGAUAGAAUCUGAAUUGAUCUAAAUUCAUUUGGAGCACAUUUUGUCAAACGUUUGAAUUUUCGCAGGAGCUGUGAUUAGUUGAUUACCAUACCAGAGGAUAAAUUUGUUGAGGACCCAAAGUGGUUGGGAGUUGUAUGGUAGUAGUGGUCCGGAUUUAUACAGUCACUAAAAUGGAUGGUUACACCACAUCAUGUUAGAUAAAUUCAAAGGUUUGCCCAAACCGUUGAACAAGUGGGGUCCCAAGCACCCAACUUUGCGGCAACUUGGAUUCAGUGGAACAGUAAGGCAAAACGAGGUAAGAGAUACACCGGCUCGGUGAAGAGGAACGCGAAAAAAGCAACGCAGAAUCGAACGAGUAAUCGAGUAUAUUUUGCUAUUUGCAAAAUAAGCAAAAUCCAACUCAAAAUGGGAUUAAGGAUUAAGUCUCCAGGUUUGGUUCUCACAGUAAAUAUACGGAAAACGUACAAAAUAAUUGGGUUAAGGCGAGUAUUAAUCCGUUGUUGAGAACGCAAUUCAUGAUAGUUCCAAUUCGGAAGAGGAGCCUUUAGGAAGGGGCCGUAUGUUAUUCCAAACACUAAUAUUAUGCAUGUUUGUCAAGCGAAGAUGCCACUGCACAGAACUGUGAUUUUUCCGAAAUUAUUUUUGUGUAUAGCUACUAGAUAUUGUGUUACAGUUUUUUUUUAAAUAAAGUGAUAAAAUGUA